CCGUGGAUUUGCUUCAUGAAAAAAGGCUCACAGCCAGCCAGGCUGUUAAAUGCUAGGAGAAGAACUUUGGUUACUACACGAUGAAUCUUGGACCAAACAACUGAUUUCCAGAUGAAGGAGCGUAUUGCUGAAGAUUGCCAUACUAAUAUCCCCAGGGCAUCUGGAAUUUUAUUCAAGUCCACAGCUUGACUGAAACCACAAUAUCCAUUAAAUCAGGAGUGUUACUAC